UGGGGAAUCUUGGACAAUGGGCGCAAGCCUGAUCCAGCCAUGCCGCGUGGAUGAUGAAGGCCUUAGGGUUGUAAAAUCCUUUCGUGGGGGACGAUAAUGACGGUACCCCAAGAAGAAGCUCCGGCUAACUUCGCGCCAGCAGCCGCGGUAAUACGAAGGGGGCUAGCGUUGUUCGGAUUUACUGGGCGUAAAGCGCGUGUAGGCGGGUCGUUAAGUUGGGGGUGAAAUCCCGAGGCUCAACCUCGGAACUGCCUUCAAAACUGGCGACCUGGACUCAAGCAGAGGCAAGUGGAAUUGCGAGUGUAGAGGUGAAAUUCGUAGAUAUUCGCAGGAACACCAGUGGCGAAGGCGACUUGCUGGGCUUGUAGUGACGCUGAGACGCGAAAGCGUGGGGAGCAAACAGGAUUAGAUACCCCCGUAGUCCCUGAGCGGGCUGGCAAGGCGCAU
rnacentral:rRNA from 1 species